AUGUCCAGCCCUCCACCGAGUUCUUCCCACCCGCCGCCGCCGCACACCUACCCGCCGCCACCAGCGUCUUCAUCGGCGCUGCUGCCCCACACAGCAGGCGCGGCGGCAUUGGGCGUGCUGGCGUCCUCAGGGGCGAUUGCACCCUCUGCCCCGGCGCCGUCCGCCCUCGUCCUCACCCCGGAGCAGAUGACAGCCGCAAUCCUGGAAUUACGGCAGGCCGUGGCGGGCAUCAGGGCCUUCGUCGUCGGGCCCUAUGCGCCCCAGCCGCAUCCCCAGCAGCCACCUCCCCCGCCGCCACACCAACAACAGCUACCCCCGCCGUCGCCGCCCUCGGACGCGACCACGGCGCCGGUCAUCUCGUACCAGUAUGGGAUGCCCUACGACGGGACUGCGACGGCCUCGUUCCCAUCAGCGCUGCCGCUGUCCCAGGGCGUCCCCAUCCAGCAGAUCAAGUUCCCGCCGUCGCUGUCACCGCAUCUGGCUUGGAUCGCUACCCGCCACGUGUCGGCGGCGGUGAGGCUGCAGGCUGCUGCGCGCGGCCUCCUAGCGCGUCGGCGUGUGCGGGAGAUGCGUGGUCUGCAGCUGCCGCUCCUCCCAGUUGCGCUUCGUUGCGCAAAGGACCUCGAUCUCGUCCGCUGCGUCAGGGAUCUUGGGCAUGCGGUUUUUCCCACGGGCGGCGGGCAUGCUGUUUUCCCCACGGACAGCGAUCUCAAAGUCUGUGACAUCGGCGGUUGGGGGUGCGCACCCCUCCUCGCCAUUCUCCAUUGA
rnacentral:rRNA from 1 species